rnacentral:rRNA from 2 species
UGGCUCAGAACGAACGCUGGCGGCAGGCUUAACACAUGCAAGUCGAGCGGGCGUAGCAAUACGUCAGCGGCAGACGGGUGAGUAACGCGUGGGAACGUACCUUUUGGUUCGGAACAACCCAGGGAAACUUGGGCUAAUACCGGAUAAGCCCUUACGGGGAAAGAUUCAUCGCCGAAGGAUCGGCCCGCGUCUGAUUAGCUAGUUGGUGGGGUAACGGCCCACCAAGGCGAGGAUCAGUAGCUGGUCUGAGAGGAUGAUCAGCCUCACUGGGACUGAGUCACGGCCCAGAGAAAUACGGGAGGCAGC